rnacentral:rRNA from 1 species
GACGAACGCUGGCGGCGUGCUUAACACAUGCAAGUCGAACGGAAAGGCCCUGCUUUUGUGGGGUGCUCGAGUGGCGAACGGGUGAGUAACACGUGAGUAACCUGCCCUUGACUUUGGGAUAACUUCAGGAAACUGGGGCUAAUACCGGAUAGGAGCUCCUGCUGCAUGGUGGGGGUUGGAAAGUUUCGGCGGUUGGGGAUGGACUCGCGGCUUAUCAGCUUGUUGGUGGGGUAGUGGCCUACCAAGGCUUUGACGGGUAGCCGGCCUGAGAGGGUGACCGGCCACAUUGGGACUGAGAUACGGCCCAGACUCCUACGGGAGGCAGCAGUGGGGAAUAUUGCACAAUGGGCGGAAGCCUGAUGCAGCAACGCCGCGUGCGGGAUGACGGCCUUCGGGUUGUAAACCGCCUUCGCCUGUGACGAAGCGUGAGUGACGGUAAUGGGUAAAGAAGCACCGGCUAACUACGUG